rnacentral:misc_RNA from 1 species
AAGUCGUAACAAGGUCUCCGUUGGUGAACCAGCGGAGGGAUCAUUGCUGGAACAAACGCCCUCACGGGUGCUGCCCAGAAACCCUUUGUGAACUUAUCAUACGUUGCCUCGGCAGUGGUUGGCUUCGAAUGAAGUCCCUUGUGCUUUCGAGUAUAAGGAGCAGACCGGCCGAUGGCCCCUAUAAACUCUUGUUUUUGUAAUAUCAUCUGAGUAAAACAACUAAAAUGAAUCAAAA